CCUACGGGUGGCAGCAGUAGGGAAUCUUCCACAAUGGGCGAAAGCCUGAUGGAGCAACGCCGCGUGGGUGAAGAAGGUCUUCGGAUCGUAAAACCCUGUUGUUAGAGAAGAAAGUGCGUGAGAGUAACUGUUCACGUUUCGACGGUAUCUAACCAGAAAGCCACGGCUAACUACGUGCCAGCAGCUGCGGUAAUACGUAGGUGGCAAGCGUUAUCCGGAUUUGUUGGGUGUAAAGGUAACGCGGGGGGUUUUUUAAGUCUGAUGUUAAAGCCGUCGGCUUAACCGGAGUAGUGCAUUGGAUACUGGGAGGCUUGAGUGCAGAAGAGGAGAGUGGAAUUCGAUGUGUAGCGGUGAAAGGCGUAGAUAUAUGGAAGAACACCAGUGGCGAAGGCGGCUCUCUGGUCUGUAACUGACGCUGAGGUUCGAAAGCGUGGGUAGCAAACAGGAUUAGAUACCCGGGUAGUA
rnacentral:rRNA from 1 species